GUGACUUGCACUUGGGGUGUCAGAAGACACAUGUAUCACACGAAUUGUUUUUUAGUCUUAUGUGCUCGACAAGUAGUACAUCUGUGCUUAGAUAACAUAGGCCUGUGGUGGAAUCAGAGGCAACUUGUCGAACAUGCCUGAGAUUCCUGCCCUGCUGCCAGAGAAUAUCAAAGCACAGUGGAAAACUGUGCCUGCUUGAAUCCCUGGUACACAGGCGAGAACAGCAGGUUUGAGCUCUGUCUCUCACUAGCAAGGACUCCCUCACUAACAAGGAAAAACUCUUCAGUAAGGACUCUCAGUCUCCUUGGUGCCUGCAUUCCCCACUUGCAUGCCUCUGCCUGGAUGCUGCUUCGGAGAUCCCCUGGUCGGUGAGAUAAGAAGCUGCAGCACAGAAAGAGAUCUGCGUCAGAGAAGAAAGAGAUCUGCUGCAGUGAAGCUGUGCUGGGGUCAGAAAUAGCACAUGCAGAUCUGACACCUGACGUAGUCACUUCCCUCCCACCCCACUCACUCUGUCCUUGGAAGGGGUGCAGAAGAGCUGCCUUCUGCUGCGGGGAUGCGACAGGUUCCGGCGAACAACAAUCCAGUGUAUUUACUCAUGUCACUGGCUGCAUGCAUGGUGGUUGUGAGUUCAGUAAGGGAGGAUUUCUCCCUGGAAACCAAAUGCUGGGCCCAGGCUCAAGAUCCUGAAAGACUUGCAUUUGCACUCGUGACCACUGUUUCCAUGGACUAAGGAAGGUUUGAAGACUACUGAGAGCUGCUGAAAGUGCUGUUCUGGUUCCUGGUGAAUGAACUUGAGGACUAAACUUCCUGUGAUCCAGGCAGUCCUGUACGAUUUGUGCUCAGCACAGAAAGUGUGCAAUUGCAGAGUGGCAUAAUGGGGCAAAGACAGGCAGGAAAGAUUAAGGACACCACAACCUGUGGGACUGUUUCCCCUGGCAUUGCCACCCUUGCUCCUUGUGACUACAGAACUGGUAGUUCAUUGCUCUGAUCCAGUCCCUCUCCUCUUAAAACAUCCUCAGCUUCUGCCUCUCACAUCUGACCAAGUAAUCUAUGGGCCUCAAUGCAUCUUUCAAAGCAGAGACACUUGCUUAAUUUUAUGCUUUGCCAGAGCCAAGUUACCUUUGAGGUGAUCCAUGUGAGUCAGCACCUGUCGCUAGUUUUCUAAAUCCCAUAAGCAGCAAGGAAACAAGUCAUAGUACUGCACCCAUAGGUAUUGGUGGCCUAAAAGGAUGAGCAGCACCUUAUUCUCCUCUGCUCCAUGUUACUGUCCUUGAUAUCACACCAUGUCCUCGGCCUGGGUGUCCGGUCUCUCAGGUGCAGGUCAGGAGCUGUGGAGAAGUCGCCAGAGGAUGAUUCUCACACGCUACAUGUGAACACGGGCUUCACAGCAGUCUGGGCUCACCAACUGAGAACAAGUGGUGCCUUUAUGUCUCACCACUGGUAAAUUAAAUGCCACAGCAAAAAGAAAGGUCAAUGGAAUGAGAAAAAGAAGGAAAGUUGCAUAAAAUACUAUCAGAAAUCAAACCUAUGGCUUCCUUUAUAUAGGAGAUUAACUGCCUGCUUCAAUUCAUGCUCAGAUGACUCCCUGUUUUCAAAAAUGAGCGACAAAGUAAGCAGGUACCCCAAUUCAGCUUUUAUGAUUCAUAUCCUGGAACACUGGAAGUAUUUUAUUCCUUCCACCCUUCCUUCCUAGCUAGUGUUGAGGCCAAGGAAAUAGCAAUUGUCUUUUUUCUCUCCUUUCCAGAGUCAAACUAACAGAUGAAUCUGGACAAGAGGAGAAAGGUAGUUAGCUAGAGAUAUAGACUGGGGUCGUAUUUAGUGAGUGGAAUCAGAAGUAUAGAGACUUAAGCCUAUCAAUAUAUUUCCAGAGACCUGUGUAAUAAUAGCAAUUGAGAGCUUUUAUAGCUACACAAAUCUGUCAAACACCACUUCAGCGAUAUUUCAGCAGGGAAUUGGGCAAAAACGCUUUUUACAGAGAGUUAGGGGAGUUCUGUCACACCUGAUCUAUUUGAUAAUGUUGCUACAGCACCUCUGUGCCCAAGGUAGAAAAGGGAGUGCUAUCAGGCAAACCUAAGCUAAAGUACAAAAGACAGUGACUCUUCUGAGGCAGCCAGAAACCCCUCCCUGAAAGCACACUUUUGAUGGUAGUGUAGGGCGAGGAAACCAGACUUGGCAAGAAGCAGAGCUGGGUGAUGCAGAGGCUCAAGCUACCAAAAAAAAAAUAUAUAUAAAAAAAUCUCUGAAGCAGAAGAAAUUUCCUUUUUCAAAAUGAUAAAUUCAUACUUAUAUUGAAAAAAAGCGCUACCUUGAAAACAGAACCUAAUUAUUCCAGCCACCAGCAUAGAACUGAGGACUUAAAGACCCUACAAAAAACCAGAGUAGCAUGUUUUAUUUAUAAGAAAGCCAUACUAAGAUUGUUUAUUACUUUCACUCCUGAGCUGUUAUGAGAAAGCUGAGGUUUUAUUCACACUGCAUAUAUUUGUAACACACAAUGGAAUUAAGAAAUUCUACAAAAACCAGAUUACAGUUUUUAAAACAUUGCUUUAACUUGGACACACUAAGGGUCUCACCUAAUUUGCAUGCAUAUAUAGUCAUAUUUUAUUUAAAAUGUACAUCUUUUUGUAUUUGCCUUUUCUUUUUUCUUUCCUUGCUAGUGGAACAGAAAUGGAUUGAGUUGACUACAACUAAAGCAUUGUGGGGGCCAUGGGGAUUCCUUUUUCUUAUUCUGGUCUUCACCUUUCUCUUCUCUUGAAUGAGGGUACAACUGGGCUGCCCUUUAGGAUGACUCAGCUUCAAUAUCCCACAGCAGACAGCUGCCAAUUUAGGUUUGUACUUGCUUAUCCCAGACUUUCUGCUUCCUAAAUUAAACUCUGCUUAGGUCAAAAAUAAACUGGCUGACCAGUCAGUGACCUUGCUUAGAUCCAUGUUUAGCUUUUGAAUUGCUAAUAGCCAUCUACACAAAAUACACCUCUUAAGAGGUGCCAGGGCAUUUACUAAUCUUUGUUCCCACACAUAUUCCCAGACAAAGUGACAGCUGCACAGCAAGUACAUCCGUUAUCUGGUUACCAAUUAUGCUCAGCAUGCAAAAAAUAUCCAGAAAUUGCCAGUGAUACCAUUUUUGACCUGUGCACUCUCCCUGUGCUUGCAGUCUACUUUACCAAGUAAAUUUAAUGGACUAACAAUGACAUCUAGAAAGAAAAAAAAAAACAAAACCACAACAAUAUGAAAACUGAGAACCUAAAAAAACCUUGCUUUGCCGAGCCAAGUGGUUAUGACUUGCUUAUCGCAAGUCCUUCCAGUGCUUGACCAGAAUAUAUUGGGUGGACAACACUAAGGGGUUUAAUUCCUAGUAAAACUCUGCUUAUCAUGCUUUGCCCUCAAUACUUGUAAAGGCACCCCCAGCAUACCUACUGCCCCAGCUCCAAUCCUGAUGAAAACCAGAUGGAACCCAAAGCACUUCGAGCAAUGAAUAAGGCAAGAACCUGAAAAAUUGUUGCAGAUGAGAGAAAGAAAGAUACUUUGGAAUCUGGAAGAGUAAAAGAGACAUUAUCUCUACUCUUAGCUUGCCCAGGAAAAAACUUGAAUUAACAUAAUCAAGAACUACAUAGACAGGAUGACCUGGAAAAAAGCAAGACCAAUUUAGUUCUUUUUCAGCUCUCCCACAACAGAGUUCAUCCUGGCAUAAAGUUUUAGAUAUCCUAAAUGCUGGUAAAUGUCUUGUUACCAAAUAAAAUUUGCUGUUUCCAGGAAAAGCACAUAUAAGAUUUCAAGUCAAGUCUUAUUUUCAAAAAAACCUCACAAAAACACUUACUAAGAUUGUGGCCCCUAUUCGGGUUGUAAUUUUUCAUGCAUUCUGAUCACAUGGCUGUUGUUAUAAAUGAAAUAUCUACCAUGACUUCUGUUCUCCACAUUUAUUCCAAAUAUUUGAUAGCACUUCUUUAGCUUUCUUCAUUUUCUAGAUAGUGAAAAAUAA